rnacentral:rRNA from 1 species
UACGUAGGUGGCAAGCGUUGUCCGGAUUUACUGGGCGUAAAGCGUGCGUAGGCGGUUGUCUAAGUCUGGUGUGAAAUCUCCCGGCUCAACUGGGAGGGUGCGCCGGAAACUGGAUGACUGGAGUGCCGGAGAGGUAAGCGGAAUUCCUGGUGUAGCGGUGAAAUGCGUAGAGAUCAGGAGGAACACCUGUGGUGUAGACAGCUUACUGGACGGUGACUGACGCUGAGGCACGAAAGCGUGGGUAGCAAACAGG